UACGUAGGGGCUAGCGUUAUCCGGAAUUAUUGGGCGUAAAGAGCGCGCAGGUGGUUGAUUAAGUCUGAUGUGAAAGCCCACGGCUUAACCGUGGAGGGUCAUUGGAAACUGGUCGACUUGAGUGCAGAAGAGGGAAGUGGAAUUCCAUGUGUAGCGGUGAAAUGCGUAGAGAUAUGGAGGAACACCAGUGGCGAAGGCGGCUUCCUGGUCUGUAACUGACACUGAGGCGUGAAAGCGUGGGGAGCAAACAGGAUUAGAUACCCCUGUA
rnacentral:rRNA from 1 species